rnacentral:rRNA from 1 species
GAUUAUGGCUCAGGAUGAACGCUGGCGGCGUGCCUAACACAUGCAAGUCGAACGAAGCACUUAGACAGAACCUUCGGGUGACGUAUUGGUGACUGAGUGGCGGACGGGUGAGUAACGCGUGGGUAACCUGCCCUGUACAGGGGGAUAACAGUUAGAAAUGACUGCUAAUACCGCAUAAGCGCACGAUGGUAGCAUUACCAGGUGUGAAAAAACUCCGGUGGUACAGGAUGGGCCCGCGUCUGAUUAGCUUGUUGGCGGGGUAAGAGCCCACCAAGGCGACGAUCAGUAGCCGGUCUGAGAGGAUGAACGGCCACAUUGGAACUGAGACACGGUCCAAACUCCUACGGGAGGCAGCAGUGGGGAAUAUUGCACAAUGGGGGGAACCCUGAUGCAAGCAACGCCGCGUGAGUGAAGAAGUAUUUCGGUAUGUAAAGCUCUAUCAGCAGGGAAGAUAAUGACGGUACCUGACUAAGAAGCUCCGGCUAAAUACGUGCCAGCCGCCGC